rnacentral:tRNA from 1 species
GGGGCCGUAGUUAAACGGAAUAACAGGUGGUUCGCAAUCACCAGUUGGGGGUUCGAUUCCCCCCGGCUCCA